GCUUUCUUAUUGUGUAUUGAUGGAGCAACUAUUGUUACAGAUUCUGAGGUCCCUAUGUAUAUGGAUCGAUUGCGUCGGUCGUCGAUGAUUUUCUGCUGAGCAUAAUGGAAGACACAAGCAGCCGCUUGGAAGGACAUCUGGAAAAAAGGGCGCAGGGCGCGCUAUUAGAUGCCACCUCUCCCGUUUCAUAACUGCUACUAGGCCUAUCAAGGUUCGUGUGAGACGGUCCCUAUGAAGUACAUCGACAAGGCAGAUGAAUUACGCCAUUUAUUAGUAUGCUUAGUGAUUAUGGCUCCGUAGUUGGCUCUCCUUUAUUAUGUUCCUGUUCUUAUUACCUCCUCUUAUGUCUUCUCGCUUUUGUUUUGAACUUUAUG